AUGGCAUUAAUGCAAGUAUUUUUGUUUCAGAUAAAUUUCAUAAAGUGUCCGUGCGUGUUGCUUAUCGAUCUGUUUACGACAAUACCCUUACAUAUGAUAAUGUGUCCGACGCUAUUUGUGAAAGUACUGGAAGUAAACAUGACAGCAAUAUUUCAGAAUCUAAUACUUCUUCGAAUAACAAUGAUGAUAUGUUCAGUGAUGUAGAAAGCAUGUCUGAUGAUGAAACAGGAUUGGAUAAACAUUCUGAUGACGAUGCAAUGUUGGAUGAGCCUGAUUUUGAUAAAAUGGACACGAGUGAUUGUUUGAAAUAUUGGGCAUUGAGCACCAAACAAACCCAUUAUUCAAUGAAUAUGCUGUUAAAAAUAUUGAGGAAAAAAAUGAACAUGUGUCUACCAAAGGAUGCUAGAACUUUCCUGAAAACAAAUAGAAAUGGACCAGAAAUAUCAAAAAUUGGAGAUGGUCUGUUUUGGUAUCGCGGUGUUAAAGAGGGCCUCACCAAGCAUUUGCGUUUUGUUAAGGUGCCAAGCACUCUUUCGCUGAACAUCUUUAUAGAUGGACUACCACUAAGUAAAAGCAGUCCAACGCAGUUCUGGCCUAUAUUGGCAAAUAUUUAUGAAAUGCCUCAACUAUCGCCAUUUACUAUAGCAAUUUAUGCCGGAAGAUCAAAGCCAAAUGAUCUGGAUAAAUAUCUGAAGCAAUUAGUGUCAGAAUUAAAUACCCUUAUUGAUGGAGGAACAAUUAUUAACCAGACAAAAAUAGCAAUUCGAGUGCGAGCCGUCAUAGCAGAUACUCCUGCUAGAUCGUUUAUCAAAGGUGUAGCGAAUUUUAAUUCUGCCGAUGGAUGUCUCAAAUGCACAUGCGAAGCAGAAUUUAAUGAGGAUGGUAGGUGCAUGGUUUAUAAAGGAGUUAACGCCCCUCCAAGAACUGAUAAAGGUUUUAGAGGUGAAGAAUAUGGAAACCAUCACAAAUGUAGGUCACCAUUCAUUGAUUUGAAAAAAUUUGACAUUGUUAAAGGCAUACCAGUAGCAGAUAUUCUUCACUUAAUACAUUAUGGUAUGAUGCGCCGACGAGGAUAAAGUUUUAUAAUAUACCGCUAGUUUGCGUGUUUAUAACCCAAUUUUAACGUGUGCAUUUUAUCUCGUGUGUCAAUCGGGACCUUUUAACGUGUUCGUUUAUUCGUAUUGUGUGAUCGCGUAUCGUAUGUGCGUGUGUUAAAAUACCUUCACCGCGUCGGAAACGUCGAAGGAUGGAGACGGACGAAGUGAACUCUGGUGACCUUUUUGGAGAUGCCGAUCAACGACGAUUGUCGCAAGGCCGUGUUCCCGUUCCUGUCCAAGCCGCGCAUCCAAGCGGCCUGCUGCAAGGAGUUU